CAGAAGGAGGGACCUGCCGCCUAACUUAGUAGCCCAUGACGUCAGUUAGAGGUAGCUGGGCACUACCGAGAGGAAGAAGUUAAGAUGGUUCUCAUCAAGGAGUACCGUGUGGUUUUACCCUGUAGUGUCGAAGAGUAUCAAGUGGGGCAGCUGUUUUCUGUGGCUGAAGCGAGUAAAAAUGAGACGGGUGGUGGUGAGGGCAUUGAGGUACUCAAGAAUGAGCCAUAUGAAAAAGAUGGAGAAAAAGGACAGUACACACACAAAAUUUACCACCUAAAGAGUAAAGUCCCAGGAUUUGUCAGACUCCUAGCUCCUGAAGGUGCCCUGGUUUUCCAUGAAAAGGCUUGGAAUGCCUACCCCUACUGCAGAACCAUUGUGACGAAUGAAUAUAUGAAAGAUAAUUUCUUCAUUAAAAUUGAGACAUGGCACAAACCGGACCUUGGAAUGCAAGAAAAUGUGCACAAACUUGACAGUCCCACGUGGAAGAAUGUAACGGUGGUGCCCAUUGACAUUGCAGACAGAAGUCAAGUGGCCCAUGCUGACUACAAGGAAGAUGAGGAUCCUGCCAUUUUCAAGUCUGUCAAGACUGGGAGAGGACCUCUUGGUCCCAACUGGAAGAAAGAGCUGAAUAGUAAUCCUGAAUGCCCAAGGAUGUGUGCCUACAAAUUAGUCACAGUCAAGUUCAAGUGGUGGGGCCUGCAGACCAAAGUGGAGAACUUCAUCCACGAGCAAGAGAAGAGGAUCUUCACAAACUUCCAUCGCCAACUCUUCUGUUGGAUUGAUAAGUGGGUGGAGCUAAAUAUGGAUGAUAUACGGCGUAUGGAGGCGGAAACGCAGAGAGAACUGGAUGAGAGGCGUAAGAAUGGCUCUGUACGAGGUACAAAGGCUACAGAGGAGUAGCAAGGCCAAGUGCUUCAGUUUCUGCGUCUUGCAUUCACUCUAAACCUCUCCACUGCCUUGCUCUUGAAACUUCUCCAAAUAUCAGUCUGGGAGCUUUUGGCCGUACAAGGAGAACAAGGGAGGAAUCUGGGCUGGACCGGCCAAAGUGGGCCAGUCUCAAACAUUCCUGGCUCGCUACCAGCAUGCAGAAUUUUUGCGCUUUGCCUUCUCACAUCUCGCCCAGCUGAGCAUGUGUUUCCAGUUUUCCCUUGGAGUAAGUAAACAGCUUCGCAAAAAGGGUGAUGUGCGAGGAACCAGUGCUGCAGAUGAAUGAAAAGGAUUUUAAACACCACACCCACAAUGACAGCAGUUGUGAGGACUGCUAAGCGGGCUCCUUUGGUGCCACUUUUUUACCCUAACUGAAUCACGCUGUGGAGGAGGGAGCGCUGCUACCUGCAAUCAGUAGAGCAGAUCCCCGGCUUUAACCCAAUCAUAGUCAUUCUAUCCAGUGAGGAAUUGAUUUAUAGCCACCGAUACGAUGCUAGCUGAUGAGACUCUGGUUAAUUUUGAUCUUGGACAGAGAAAGGCCGGCUAUGGCCAUCAGGAUAUUGAGACCUAGUCUUCUGCAGAGAUGCAAAGAAAAGCUAUUUGCUUUUUUUAAGAAAAAAACAAAACAAAAGCUAAUUCAUCACCUUGAUUCCACAGUGGCAGGUGUUGGACCAAAUAUAUCCAGCUCCCCCAACCUCCUUUUUUUCCCUACCCAAAAAACCCCCAUUCCUCACAGAAUGAUGCCCUCUGUGACCUCUCUUUGUCUCUUCCUCAGUCUUAACUGUACACACUGUGGCUCAGUGUGUGGUUUGCAUUCCCUGGCAGGAGACUGUUUGUCAUGCUCUUGUUCCUUCCUGCCAUAACCUCCAUUAAGUGAUUACUAACAGCCUUGGCGUCUUGGCCCAUUGUAAUCCUUCUUCCAUCACCCCCCUCACCUUAUCGAAGCACUGCAUCUUAUUAACACUGACAAUCAUGUCUGUACAGGUAUUCACUCUCACUCCCACAUGCAGAGGUAACAGGAAGCCCACACACACACACACACAUUCAUAUGACACAUACAGUGCGCAGAUGAGGAUAAACAUACGAAUUCAUCCUUACACACACACACACACACACACACACACACACACACACACUCUCGCAGGUGUGGAUACCUUUGUGCUGACUGAUCUUGGAGAAACUCAAGCAGGGGCAGAUCCUUGCGAGCUCGUUCAGCUAAAGGAUGUUGCUUUGGAUAUGUUUACAGCUCUCACCCCCACCCCGUACUUGCUAUUCUGAAAACAGUCGCACAUAACAUACAUUGCAGCAUUCACCUCUCUAACAGAUGUCCCUAGAGGAAAAAAUAAAAAGUAAAAAAAAAAAAAAUGCACUGAAAAACAGCCACAGAUGGUGCUACACCCCUCCAGCCUCUGUCACAAGCCAAACUGUGCUGCACUCACCCAGCCCACCACCAGAGGCCUUUCUCGCUCCUCCGGCUCUCUGAGGUAGACAGUUUCCAGAAGGCCUCCUCCUCCUCUGCAUCAUUCUAGCUGUGUUUACAGAUUUGUAAUUGCCUUAUCAGUGCCUAGUGGAUACCAGUACCAUGUAGAGUUGCUUAUGUGUCCAGGCCUUUACACCUAUCAGAGCUACUACACUUAAUGAACCUCUGCUGCCAGCCAUUGUUUUAGCUACCUCUCUCAUUUCUGACUGGCCAUUUUUCCUGAUGCCCUAAAGUGUGUCCACCAAAUGUUUUGGAAAAUGUCAGGCACCCAGUUGAACCCUUAAGACGCACAUAGGUUUGGGUUCUUUUUUGUUUUGUUCUGUUUUUCCCAUGUGAGAGGAUCUAUUAGUAUGCCACACAAUAUUUUUGUCAAAGCGGUUCAAAUACACGACUGUGCCUGGUAGCCGGUUUACAAAUAAAAUGUUCCUUCAAGCACUGUUUUUAUAUCAAUACUGUCUGGUUGUCAUCUGCAGACAUGCUCUUACAGCUCUCAACAACUUAUAUAAAGUUGAGCACAGAAAAGAAGCUCGGUGCCGCUUCAAGCUGCUGUCGUUUUAUUUUUUGCAUAGCGUAAAUACACGACACACUCGUGCUCAGGAAAAACGCUUUGGUGGACACACACCUCGUAAGGGUUAGCAUUAGCUGUUAGCUGGUACUUCUUAGGAUUCUUGAUUCUAGUCUUGACAAAAGAGCUUUAUCAGGGCGCAGACUUGUAUGUUAUUCCUUUGUUUCCUGGUAUGUGGAAGUGCAAUUCCUUUCCAUUCCCACAAGCAGAACUUUGUUACUAUAACAGCCAGCGUGCACCGUUUGUCAUGUAAAUCUUUACCUCAGACCAGCCAUUGGAAAGAGCUGCCAUAUUAAUGUCUUCUGGCUUUUCAGCUCUGUAUCCAGCUCUCUCUCUCUUUUUUUUUCUUUCUUCAGGCUUCAGAAUUGUGUCACAUCAGCCUAGACUAUUAAUUAUGGCUUGUGUUACAUGUAUACAGUAUGUGUGGUUUGCUCAUCUGUUCCCUCGUAAUGUUCUUGAAUAUUUGUGUGUUUUGGUUGCAUGUCACUGUUUUAAAUUGCCCAACAUAAAUUUGGGAUUUGUGUUUAGUAAUCGGUUUCCUGUUAUUUCCCAAGGCAGAUUAUAUGAUUAAAUAAUUUCAGGAAAGUAUUCUAGUGUGUUUGGUUAAUGACAGUCCUAUGAGGGCAAAUCUGACCAUGUCCAUGGUAAUUGGCUUUUCCAAAGAGAAUAAAUGGUGUUUGUGUUCAGCAAAUAUCGAUUUAAUAUAGGAAAAUUUGGAAAACUGUUGUCAGAAACAGCGGUUUUCAAUAACAGAAUCUUCUCAGGUUAACAAUAAGACAAAGAUAAUGUAGCCUGUUCCCUUUUAUCGUCUUUAUGUGUUAGAACCACUUGGGUUUUUGUUACGGUCAUGAAUGCAUAUGUCUGUGAGCAAACAGUGUAAUUAGUGUUUCAAAGUUCAUUUGAAUGAUUCCUCAUGUGUGUUUGAAUAAAAAAACAAAACAAAAACCAAGAACCCAGUGAAAGGGGAGGAAAGGAGAAAUCUGAAAUCAGCCGUUUGCUGUUCUUCAAAACAAUGAUAUUAACAAAAGUGUUUAAAGGUUCUGAUCAGCUUUUAAAAAUCAGGGGUUGUGGUAACGAAUGUAUGAUGUAUUGUGCCUUUUUCUUUCUGCACAUCUUUUUUGUGCUACCAAGUCUAUAUAUUGUAUCGAAUAUUGUAUCUAAAUAUAAAUAAAUUUCCUUUUCUUUUUUUUUCUUUUUUUCGGGACAAAGUUUCCUGAAGUUCAGUUUGUGCUGUUUUUGUCUGAUUGCUAGAAAAUAAAGGUUUUGCCUGAGGGGGAUUUGAUCAGUCCUCAGGGCAAAGGCGA